UCUUUCAGUAACUUUGUUGUAAUGGAUGAGGAGUAAGACUUGGUGGUCUAAUACUGCUAAUAAAUUAGGCCAAUUUAUCAUAAUAUGUCAGUAUGGAUUGAUGUUAAAAUAGCCAUUGGAGCUGACUUUUAAGGAUACAGCAUAACAUCUUGUCCAUAAGGAUUUAUGUUGGAAAUGACCAUUGACAUUGACUUUUUAGUCUACCAUUACCAUGAUAACUAUGGCUGCAUAAAAGAAAUGUGAUUAUUUUGUAUUCUCUUAAUGCUGCAUUUGAAGUAAUUGACCAGCUGAUUCUGAUUGAACAUCUUGAAUACUCCUACGGAAUAUCUGAUAAUGCCUUUUCAUGGAUUAGAUUUUACCAAAGCAACAGGACAUAAAACUUAUCUCUAAUAAAUAUUGAUAAUGAUGAUAUGCAGCUACAUUUUGGUGUACCACAAACUCUGUAUCAGGAUUGCAAAUGUACUGUAUGUUUUUUUAACCUAUUCAUGAAAUUUGCAAAGUCACAAUAUGAACUAAUGUUACUACCCUGAAGAUAAUGAGGUGUGUUUUGAAUGAACAAAAGACUAGAGGCCAGUGUGACAGACAUAAUUGCAUAGAUAUAUGAGUUCAAAUAUGGUUUUUUUAUGGAAUUAACAAAAGUUUUAAACAUUUAAGUAGAAUUUGAAAACUUAUUUAAUCUUGCUUACCAUGACUUGAUAAGUCUCUGAAUUCGUUUAUAGGUAUUUUCAUGCAGUUGUAAUAGUAUUUCAUUUGUGUAGUUUUGUUUGAUUUAUUGUUUCAAACUUUUUAUUGUAUCUGAGGUGCCAUAUUUAAUUUUGUAAAUUGAUAAGAUUAUUGGUUAUUUUUUGUUCUUGUGUGACUUCUUAGAGUAGUUUUUGUAAGAUAAUUCUCUUCAUAGAUAUUGUAUAAAAAUAAUAAUUCUUUCAGUAAGAGUAAAGAAUGAAGCCUGCAGGUCAUACUUAGGAAAUUUUGACAGAAAUUCCUACUCCUUGUGUUUUCCCUAUGAUAUAAAACAAAAGUGUCCUUUAUAACAUUUUUUUUUGUCUUAAAUGAGAAUUCUUCAAUAGCUCAUAAAAAGGUCAUUACUAUAAUCUAAGCAGAUUAUACAUUUCUUUUCUAACGAUUUGAGACCCAAAUAUAAGGUAAAAGUCUAAGUCAUCCUUUUCCGGUCAUUUAAAAAAAAAAAAUAUCUUGAAUACCUAUUAAUAUUUUUGUUCUAUUUUGCUCGAUUUAUGUUCUUCUGAUUUAUAGUAUCAAUUUUAAAUUCCAUAUUUUAAAAUUUCACUUCACUACACCCUUAAAAAAAUGUUAAAUCCCAUAAAAAAUAUAAGCUAAAGGAAUCUUUUUUUGGUUUAAUUUUUAAUGAUAUAUUAAAGAUGAAAAUGUCUGUAUUUAUUCAUCUUCGUCUUCCAUCCAAAACUCCAAUACAAUAUAAUCUAAAAAGUGAAUCCCUGGAUCAUGCAUGCAGGGUUGGGUUUAGAGAAAACACAGAAUUAAAUGUUUUAUAAGAACAAGACUUUAGGGAUCGUACAGUGAUUUAAUCGGAUAGACAUAUUUUG